GCAGUCGCGGCCGAGUGGUUAAGGCGAUGGACUCGAAAUCCAUCGAGGUCUCCCUGCACAGGUUCGAAUCCUGUCGACUGCG
rfam:Ixodes scapularis strain Wikel colony gcontig_1107728614070, whole genome shotgun sequence.